UACGAAGGGGGCUAGCGUUGUUCGGAAUUACUGGGCGUAAAGCGCACGUAGGCGGAUAUUUAAGUCAGGGGUGAAAUCCCAAGGCUCAACCUUGGAACUGCCUUUGAUACUGGGGAUCUUGAGUCCGGGAGAGGUGAGUGGAACUGCGAGUGUAGAGGUGAAAUUCGUAGAUAUUCGCAAGAACACCAGUGGCGAAGGCGGCUCACUGGCCCGGUACUGACGCUGAGGUGCGAAAGCGUGGGGAGCAAACAGG
rnacentral:rRNA from 1 species